GCAAGUUGCACUCAACUCCGUUAAGGAAGAAGAGGAGAAAACCCAUUCUCUUGUUGGCUCUGCAAGGAAGAAGCUCAAUAUGUCCUUUGACAGAGCGCAAUGCAAUUUCUCUUCUCCUCUGUAUACUUUCUCUAUGCUGGCUGCCAGAUGCAAAGGACAGAGCUUAUAACAAUGAUUGACAGGUAGCAAAGGUGGAUGUAUCCAGUUUUUUUUUAAAACAAAUAUGUAUUUGUG